AACAUAGAAGUAAAAAUUGCACUUAGUUUCGACCUAAGAUUUAAGGUUUAUAAAACCUUCGUGUUU
rnacentral:tRNA from 1 species